rnacentral:rRNA from 1 species
GUCGAGCGGAACGAGUUAACUGAACCUUCGGGGGACGUUAACGGCGUCGAGCGGCGGACGGGUGAGUAAUGCCUAGGAAAUUGCCCUGAUGUGGGGGAUAACCAUUGGAAACGAUGGCUAAUACCGCAUAAUCUCUUCGGAGCAAAGAGGGGGACCUUCGGGCCUCUCGCGUCAGGAUAUGCCUAGGUGGGAUUAGCUAGUUGGUGAGGUAAUGGCUCACCAAGGCGACGAUCCCUAGCUGGUCUGAGAGGAUGAUCAGCCACACUGGAACUGAGACACGGUCCAGACUCCUACGGGAGGCAGCAGUGGGGAAUAUUGCACAAUGGGCGCAAGCCUGAUGCAGCCAUGCCGCGUGUAUGAAGAAGGCCUUCGGGUUGUAAAGUACUUUCAGCAGUGAGGAAGGUUUAUACGUUAAUAGCGUAUGGAUUUGACGUUAGCUGCAGAAGAAGCACCGGCUAACUCCGUGCCAGCAGCCGCGGUAAUACGGAGGGUGCGAGCGUUAAUCGGAAUUACUGGGCGUAAAGCGCAUGCAGGUGGUUUGUUAAGUCAGAUGUGAAAGCCCGGGGCUCAACCUCGGAAUUGCAUUUGAAACUGGCAGACUAGAGUACUGUAGAGGGGGGUAGAAUUUCAGGUGUAGCGGUGAAAUGCGUAGAGAUCUGAAGGAAUACCGGUGGCGAAGGCGGCCCCCUGGACAGAUACUG